UUUGAACAUGAAAUUAAUAAUACUGAAGUUGAGAAAUUUUGUUUCACUGGUCCACAGCAUAGUGGUUAAUCUAAUCCAACAAACAUGAUGAAAAUAUUUUUAUAUUUUUACAGGAUUCUAUUUGAAGUACUAAAGAAUGUCCCAUACUGAAGGAAAACGACAUUAAAAAGACAGAUAACAUCUGCAAAGGAAGGAUUAUCUGAGUGCGGCCUGCUGCUCCUGGUGCAACUGAUGUCAGCCUUGGUGCCGCAGCUGGGUAGACAGAAACUCAAGUCCUUUACAGCUUCCUUAUUUCCAGAAAGCUUUGGAGACAGACAACACCCCAGAGGAAGGAAGAUCUGAGUGUGGCCUGCUGCCCCUAGGGCAAUCGAUAUCAGCCUUGAUCCAGCCUUUGGUGUGGACAGAAACUCACAUCCUCUGGGGCAUCCUCCUUUCCAGAAAGCAUCAGAAUCAGACAUUCUGGAGAAGGCCUCACUGUAACCUGAACAAUUCAAGACAGACAACGUCCCCAGAGGAAGGAAGAUCUGAGUGUGGCUUGCUGCUCCUGGGGAAUAAAUGUCAGCCUUGGUGCAGCACCUGGGGUAGCCAAAAACUCACAAUCUUUGGGACAUACUCAUUUCCAGAAAGCUUCAGAGGUCAAAAACUAGAACAAGUUACCGUGCUUUCAAGUGAACAAGUUAUUUUCAAGGAAGGAAAGUGA
rnacentral:lncRNA from 1 species